GGAGACAUAACAUGAAAAACCCACUUUUUUAUCCAUUAACACGGUGUGUUUCACAUUUUAAGUGUCUAAGUGAGCAAAAAGGCUUAUAUUAUUCACUGGAGUUGCUAUUUAGAUAUUUAAUAAUUAAGUUUUGGGCAUAUUUGUCCACCCGUUCAGUUUUUACAUUAUCUAUUACAUCAGUAAUUAAUUUAGUGAGGAUAACUACCAAAUAUGGUAAUGGCCCUCGGCUAAACACAGAGCCAAUCCGCCAUUUUUUCUUCUCGCUAAGAUUUUUUGUAGUCCUAUUGGAAAAAUGCAGAAUGUCUGGUUAUUUUAGCCACACACAGCUCAAAACUGUUCCUCGUUUUAAGGAAGGGUGGUGUGGCAGUAUUUAAACCCAGGAGCUGAUGACACUACUGCUAAAAAAACACAGAAGAAAAAGUAGUGUGUUUGCGUUUGUUUGUGUGUGUGUGUGUGUGUGUGUGUGUGUGCGUGCGCGCGCGCGCGCGUGGUUCGUUCGUUCUGUCUCCAGGCUAGUGGCUAAGUACUGAGGGCUUCAUCUAUCUAAAAGGAGUUAUUUCCAUCUGAAUUUGGCAGCACCGGGACACAGCAGCAGAGCGAGUCCACAUCCAGAAGACUGGAGCCGUGUUUCACUGACAGGCUGUCAGACUAACGCCCUGAUGAGCUCAGCUGGGACAAACUGGUCUGAUGUUUAGGAACACAGAACGUUCAGAUGUUGGAGCUCACGUCACCUACUGAGGAAGGAGACCCACCAGUAAAGAGAUGGUAGCUGGACCAGACCAAAAAUAUGGCGAUGACAUCAUGGAACUGGUCUUUGGAAAAGUUUUCCCUGAACCAACUCCGUUUCUAGAUGAGGUAGAGAAGAUCUGCAUCUCACCAACUCUCUGGUCUCAGUAUUCAGACAACGGAGGUCUCCCACUGUUGUCCAGGACCAGUUUGAAGCCCACAUACUGCCCCUCCCUCAUCAUCAGGAAACAUCAAUCCGUAUCCUGAGGACAACAGAAGACGGCAGGAGGACAGGAACUCUGAGACCUAGACACCACCAGCACCGAGACACAAAGCACCUGUGUGCACAACGCCUGUUUUAACUACUAAAGCCUGUUUAUUAUAUUGUUCUACUUAUUUGCUGUGAGGUUAAUACUUAGAAAAUUUGUAUAUUAAUGUAAACAAUAAAAAAAAAUCACUGAU